UACAGAGGGGGCAAGCGUUAUUCGGAAUUAUUGGGCGUAAAGGGCGCGUAGGCGGCCUGGCAAGUGGAAGGUGAAGUCCCUCGGCUUAACCGAGGAACUGCCCUGCAAACUGCUUGGCUUGAGACCGGGAGAGGUGAGUGGAAUUCCCAGUGUAGCGGUGAAAUGCGUAGAUAUUGGGAGGAACACCAGUGGCGAAGGCGGCUCACUGGACCGGUACUGACGCUGAUGCGCGAAAGCGUGGGGAGCGAACAGG
rnacentral:rRNA from 1 species